AAUCCGGCGGGGGAAUCGAUGGAGAAGACCGAGAGGGAGCUCCUCCAAGCUCCCUGUGGCUGGGUGCCAGCGGAUCCGUGGCGCAGCAGCUUGGAUGAUAGUCAAAGCUAUCCAGCACACAAGCCCGAGGCACCGGUUUGGCUGGUAAAUUCUGAUAAACCUGAUAGUGUGCCACAUGAGAGGGAGAAGGCCAAGAAUAACGGUGCAAAAGAAAUUGUGCCUCUGCUCCAUACUCCACUACCUUGCCCUCUUCAAGCAAAUUGUCAGCUCGCGCAAGUGCUAUUUCUCAAACCUCUAAAGUGUCUGCAUCUGCAAAUCAUGACAAGCACUCCUAUCUGCAGCUUUCCCUGGUUAAAAAUGCCAACCAAGCAGGCAUGGAAGAGAAGUAUUACCCACGUGUAUAUGAGUCAUGUGAUCCAAAUGCAUUUGAACAAGGAGAAGGCGUCACAAAACCAAGUAAAACCAGAGGAAAGUUCACACAUCCGCACUUCAAGGUCUCCAAACGGCUCUACCUUACACAAGAACAAUGCGCAAAAGAUCGUGAGCGUGACUCCUCUGAACUUCUAUCUGAACCUGUUGUGUUGCUUCUUUCAGGUCAGUGGUAAUUUCCUGAACUUGCCCAUUUCAACAAUGGCAUUGCCAGGGGCGCAACAUGUCCAGUAUUUGCAGGCUGUGGUGGCGUAGCUCUGUUCAAUGAGGGAAAAAAAUAGGGUGAACAGAAAAUCUGGAAACAUGGGCCUACACUGGAGUUGGACAACUGGAUGGGUAGACUAUUCUGGUUAGCUUUAGUUGACAUGUCCACGUCCUAGAUAGCUAGCAGUCUGGUGCACAGGCCAUAAGGCGCGACAAUUGCCGCGCCAAGCUUCUAGUUUUGUCUUGGCUCAAGAUAUUUGUUCCAAUUACAAUUUUGGUGUUUCUUGUCGUUUCUUGUCCCUGUCCCAGUGAACUGGAUCAAUGACACCCUAGAACGCAUGAGCCAAUAGAUACCGCGCAAAGAUACGUGUGCUUGGGAAUGAAAUCUAGACAUUGGCCUCAUAGCUGCAUUCAUCCUGGUUGCUCUCAUUGGGGUCGGAAGUCUCACAAUUUUGUAGUGUCAUGUUGAAAAGGGUGGUACGAAGGGGAGAGGUGAAAUAGGGGAGGGGAAGGUGUGCUGCCGUGCGUGUGACGAGUUUAACAAGUGGUAUUGGAUAAGUAUUUGUAGUUUUAGAUUUUAGGCAGUGUAGGGCAUUCUUUAUUUUUUUAAUUUUAUGUAUAUUGUCUUCUCUAUCUAUUUAUUUUAUUUUAUUUUUUGACUGAACUUAUGUGUUGUCUUCAACAACACUAUAUUUUGUUCGCAAUGUGAGGAACAAAAUAAAUAUUGAGGCUAAGAUUUUGAAACCGUGGUAAUGCAUGGUCACCUUACUAUCAUA